ensembl:lncRNA
AAAAGAAGACCUACCCUCCCUUCCUCCACAGGGCAGGAAGAAAUUGUCUUCUUCCCAAAACACUGGCCUCCUCCCAGGGCUAAUGACUCUGACCUCCCUCUCUCUCUACCCUCAGUACCCCGUCUUUUUUUAGAUUGUGAAGGUAAAGCAGGUGGUGGUUGAUUUUAGAAAGGUUUUCUUUCACCGGUUUAGAAGCCACUGGUUACUUACUGGUAACUGCAUUGCAUACUUCAGGCUGUUUGUGGGCUGGAUGCUGUUAAUAUGUACCUUCCAUACCCCACCAUGAGGGAGAAUGAGGGCAGUGUGUGGGCCAGAGGACUUACUUCUAGCAAGCUGAUAAAAGAGGUCUGCUGAGCUCAUGAACCAAGCACCAAACCUGUACUAUGGAUCCUCAAAUGGUACUAACCCUUUCAGAGGUGAGAAGAGUAAGAAGUAAAACCCUGGAGGGGAGUAGUGUUGGAAACAGGAAUGGCUUUUGCGGGUGGGAGUGCUAAAUCAGUAGGGUUCUCAAUCAAGUUCUCGUGAGGGGUGGUCAGAUGGUUCUGGUGAGAGGGGAAUCUCUGGCUGUAGCAGCAGAAUUGCUGUUGUCAGUCUGUCCGACUGUGAGUCUCAGUCAGGUAGGGACUGGGCCCUAAGCCUCCCUCAGCUUCUUAAGUCAUGUAGAAGGAUUAUCUCUACAGGUGCCUCAUGCC